UUCUACUUCAGGAUUGCAUCAUCAGCUGCCUGAGCCUCCUGACUGGCCUCAGAUUGCAGACAUGCCAGCCCCACAAGCUAAUAAGCCAAUUCCUUAAAAUGAAACUCUCAGAUAGACUAUAUCUCUUCUGUCUGUACCUAUUUUAUCUAUAUAUCAAUCUAUCCCACUUCCAUUUCUGUAGAGCCCUGACAGAUAAUCACAUCUUUGGAGUAGUCUUAGCUAACUUGCUAACACAACUUGGGACUUCCUGGAGAGAUCUAACAAGCUGAAAUGCAGCCAGAGCCCUCUUGGUCUAGUGAGAGGAACGAGAACCAUCCUGCUACCCUUGCGACAUUACAGCUGAAUGACUGCAUUUCACUCGGACACUGGAUGAGGUUCUGUUUUCCUCACACCAGCCUGCCAUUGGCUUGCACGUGGAAAAAGAAUAUGAUUCACAGAACUCCAACAUGUGGUUGGCCUAGGCACAUCUUCCUGCCAUGCCAGCCACAGGUGCUGUUGUGAAAGGCAGAAAGAAGGAAGACUCUUGCCAUUCAACCCUCUGUCUUCCAGGAGGUACAUUUGAGUCUGGAAACGUUAACUCAUCAAUCAUAACCAUCCUGUGAGGACAAAUAUGACCACUGUCACCUCAUUGCAGAUGAAGAAACUGAGGCCCAUAGAGAUUAAGUGACUUGCCCAAGAUCACACAGUUGGUGAGUGGCACAGCUGGGCCUCAAAGCUUGGCAAGCGAGCUCUGCAGGGCCUGCUCUCAGAUGCUUCCAUGCUGAAUGAGGUGGCAUCUCCCUGUACCCACCAGGGCAAACAUUGGAACACCCUGAACGUUUCCUCCUGGUAACCUAGCUCUGAUCAUCUCAAGCGUGAUUACAGGGACUCACAUUAGAAAUGCCUACGAAAGACUUCCUUAGGCCCUAUAUAAAUAUUAACAGUUCCACGACUUUUACUUUGCUUGAAGGGCUUUCCAUUAUUUAUAGAAUUGAGUCCAAAUUUUUUAUUCUGGCUUUCAAAGCCAUCAAAAGGUAAGUUGAGCCAGCCCUUCCAUGCUCUUCCCUGUUCUUCACAGGCUUAUUUCUGUCUUUAUAUGUUCAAGCUUGCUGAUUCCCCAAGCCUCUCCUCAAUUCCAGGCUCUUUCUGUGUCCUGCCUCCUCAAAGCAGCCUUCUCAGAUAAUGCCAGUGUAGUGUGCAUUGAUCUUUUUCUUCUCUGACCCUGACCUCUCAUAUCCCUUUCAAGGAUAAGUAGCUCAUGUUCCCCACUUGGUGAUAAAUUCCUUGAGGGCAGGAGCCAUGUCUUAUUUUGAGUGCAUAUGUUAUGUCUCCCCGGCACAUACAGGAGGUUCCUGACACACACAGGCAGUGGCUAGCAAUUUUUUUUCCUUUCCCCUGGAGUCUCGGCCUCGUGCUGGGCACAUGCUGGGCCUUCAUGAACACUUGUGGAUUUGUCUUAGAUGUGCAUAGCAUCUGUUCGAGCGUUCGGCACACAAUGAGCACUCCAUAGAUUGUAUUUUUAGAGACAAUCUGUUACCACAUAAGGACUACCAGAAAUUACUCAUACUCUUUGUGUAAAUGGAUUUAUACAAUUAUAAUGUUUAGGAGCUGAAAUAAAGAUGAGGGAAAGAAAAUCA
rnacentral:lncRNA from 12 species